rnacentral:rRNA from 1 species
AGCGGCGAACGGCGUAGUAAGACGUAGGAACGUACCCUCGGGACGGGGAUAGCUAUGGGAAACUGUAGGUAAUACCCGAUAAUCUCUGCGGAGCAAAGGUGUGAUUCCGCCUGGGGAGCGGCUUACGCGAUAUUAGCUAGUUGGUGGGGUAAUGGCCUACCAAGGCGAUGAUGUCUAGGGGGUGUGAGAGCAUGGCCCCCACGACCGGAACUGAGAUACUGUCCGGACACCUACGGGUGGCUGCAGUCGAGAAUCUUCCGCAAUGGACGAAAGUCUGACGGAGCGACGCCGCGUGCGGGAUGAAGGCCCUUGGGUUGUAAACCGCUGUCAGAGGGGAUGAAAUCUUCGGAGGUACUCCUCCGAAGUUGACAGAGCCUCAAAGGAAGCACGGGCUAAGUACGUGCCAGCAGCCGCGGUAACACGUACUGUGCGAACGUUAUUCGGAAUCACUGGGCUUAAAGGGUGCGUAGGCGGCGAUUCAAGUCAGAUGUGAAAUGCCUGAGCUCAACUGAGGCAUUGCGUUUGAAACUGAAUUGCUAGAGUAUCCUAGGGGUGUGCGGAACUGCCAGUGGAACGGUGAAAUGUGUUGAUAUUGGCAGGAACACCGGAGGCGAAAGCGGCACACUGGGGGAUAACUGACGCUGAGGCACGAAAGCCAAGGGAGCGAACGGGAUUAGAUACCCCGGUAGUCUUGGCCGUAAACGAUGAGUACUGGG